UGUAAGUUACUUCCGGAUCUAGACACAAUUUUUAAUCUCUAAAUACAAAUGAAUAAGCUUCACUUUGGUGUCUUUGUUGUAUUCUUGAUAUGACUGUCUGUUGCUAUAUAGGUUAUCACACUAUCAAUCAAAGUCUUUGAUCAAGCAAACCGCUAUGUCCACUGAUGGAAACACAAUUCUUGCUGCCUCCGAGGACGGGACUUUAUGGCGUUGGGACGUACCGAUGGUCUAGAAGAAGAUGUGCAUGCUGGCUACUUUCUAGAAGUACAUAAGGAAUAAGGAAUAAUGAUAAGAGACAGGUCAGAGGAUCUGGGAUAACUGCCAGCUGGUGCUAUGAGUAUUUAAUUGGUCUAUAUAUAAGUAAAGAGUCUAAGGGGAGAGAUAUCAAUGAUUUGAUCAAGUGGUUGUAAAGAGAGAAAGACUCUCUCGUGUGGAAGGCUUUCUUUGUAAUCCUUGUUUUGAAUCAAAUAGAAACAUUCUCUU